GUCGAGAAUUUUUCACAAUGGGCGCAAGCCUGAUGGAGCGACGCCGCGUGGGGGAUGAAGGGUUUCGAUCCGUAAACCCCUGUCAUUUGCGAACAAACCUUGUGAGUGAACAGCUCAUGAGCUGAUUGUAGCGAAAGAGGAAGGGACGGCUAACUCUGUGCCAGCAGCCGCGGUAAUACAGAGGUCCCAAGCGUUGUUCGGAUUCACUGGGCGUAAAGGGUGCGUAGGUGGCCGUGGAAGUUUGGUGUGAAAGCUCGGAGCUUAACUCCGAAAUGUCAUUGAAUACUCUACGGCUGGAGGGUCGGAGGGGAGACUGGAAUUCUCGGUGUAGCAGUGAAAUGCGUAGAUAUCGAGAGGAACACCAGUGGCGAAGGCGAGUCUCUGGACGACACCUGACACUGAGGCACGAAAGCUAGGGGAGCAAACAGGAUUAGAUACCCGUGUAGUCC
rnacentral:rRNA from 1 species